CUGUGCAAAGGUAGCAUAAUCAUUAGCUUUUUAAUUGAAGGCUUGUAUGAAGGGUCUGACAAAGAAAAAGCUGUCUUUAAUUUUAUUUUUGAAAUUAACUUUUAAGUGAAAAGGCUUAAAUGAAUUUAAGGGACGAUAAGACCCUAUAAAUCUUUAUAUUAAAUUUUUAUCUUAAAAAUUAAUAAUUUGUCUAGAUUAUUAAGUAAAUAAUAAAUAUUUUGUUGGGGUGACAAGAAUAUAUAAUUAACUGUUCUUAUAUAAAACAAAGUUGUUUGUUUAAAUAAAAUAAAGAUCCUUUAUUAAAGAUUAAAAGUUUAAGUUACUUUAGGGAUAACAGCGUUAUUUUUUUUGAGAGUUCUUAUCGAAAAAAAAGUUUGCGACCUCGAUGUUGAAUUAAAAUUUCUCUACGGUGUAGAAGUUGUGGGAGAAAGUCUGUUCGACUUUUGAAAUUUU
rnacentral:rRNA from 1 species